rnacentral:rRNA from 1 species
AACGAACGCUGGCGGCAUGCCUAACACAUGCAAGUCGAACGGUAACAGGCCGCAAGGUGCUGACGAGUGGCGAACGGGUGAGUAAUGCAUCGGAACGUGCCCAGUCGUGGGGGAUAACGCAGCGUAAGCUGCGCUAAUACCGCAUACGAUCUAUGGAUGAAAGCGGGGGACCGAAAGGCCUCGCGCGAUUGGAGCGGCCGAUGUCAGAUUAGGUAGUUGGUGGGGUAAAGGCUCACCAAGCCAACGAUCUGUAGCUGGUCUGAGAGGACGACCAGCCACACUGGGACUGAGACACGGCCCAGACUCCUACGGGAGGCAGCAGUGGGGAAUUUUGGACAAUGGGCGCAAGCCUGAUCCAGCAAUGCCGCGUGCAGGAAGAAGGCCUUCGGGUUGUAAACUGCCUUUGUACGGAACGAAACGGUCCUGGUUAAUACCUGGGGCUAAUGACGGUACCGUAAGAAUAAGCACCGGCUAACUACGUGCCAGCAGCCGCGGUAAAAC